GCAGAGCGCAUGAUGCAGCAACUUAACUCACAUGGCCAGUUCACUUUUUGCACGAGUCCCAUUCGAAUCGGGUUUGUUCACUGCGCGCAUAUCAGAUCGUCUUGACAAUGAUUCCAAAAACAAAAGUUUUAAUAUUGUUGUGCUCAUUAGCGACUGUCUUCGCUGCAAUUCCCAAAUUUGGGAUAAUCGAAUCAACCGAGCCACCACAACGUGAUCUACCGACGACAGAGAUGACGACACCAGCAGCGGAAACAAUACCUCUGCCAACGUCACCAGUUCCCACUCAUAUCGAUUGUGGUCGCGUGCCAACUUGUGGCAAGGUGUGCUGCAAGGCUGGAACGUUUUCAUGAAUGUCAUUUGCAUUAGCUGAUUUUAUGAACCAGCGUUGAGGUUGUGAAUCAUCAAGUACUUAGAGCGAAUUUCGGUGCAAAUCAAAACACUAUUCCGUUUAUUGUAAGAAUAAAUAAUGUUAAAACUUUA